rnacentral:rRNA from 1 species
AUUGAACGCUGGCGGCAUGCUUUACACAUGCAAGUCGAACGGUAACAGGCCGCAAGGUGCUGACGAGUGGCGAACGGGUGAGUAAUGCAUCGGAACGUGCCCAGUCGUGGGGGAUAACGCAGCGAAAGCUGCGCUAAUACCGCAUACGAUCUAUGGAUGAAAGCGGGGGACCGAAAGGCCUCGCGCGAUUGGAGCGGCCGAUGUCAGAUUAGGUAGUUGGUGGGGUAAAGGCUCACCAAGCCAACGAUCUGUAGCUGGUCCGAGAGGACGACCAGCCACACUGGGACUGAGACACGGCCCAGACUCCUACGGGAGGCAGCAGUGGGGAAUUUUGGACAAUGGGCGCAAGCCUGAUCCAGCAAUGCCGCGUGCAGGAAGAAGGCCUUCGGGUUGUAAACUGCUUUUGUACGGAACGAAAAGGCUCUGGUUAAUACCUGGGGCUCAUGACGGUACCGUAAGAAUAAGCACCGGCUAACUACGUGCCAGCCGCCGCCGUAAAAC